rnacentral:rRNA from 1 species
UACGGGGGGAGCAAGCGUUGUUCGGAUUUACUGGGCGUAAAGGGCGCGUAGGCGGCCGGACAAGUGGAAGGUGAAAUCCCCGAGCUCAACUCGGGAACUGCCCUCCAAACUGUUUGGCUUGAGUCCGGGAGAGGUGAGUGGAAUUCCCAGUGUAGCGGUGAAAUGCGUAGAUAUUGGGAGGAACACCAGUGGCGAAGGCGGCUCACUGGACCGGAACUGACGCUGAGGCGCGAAAGCGUGGGGAGCAAACAGG